UUCAAGAUAUUCCAUUAAUUCUUUAACAAACUCACAAUGAUUGAUUAACCCAACCACUUCAUUGUCAAUAGAAUUGCGAAUCAGUAGAAAAAACUUAGCAUCUUCCCUGAGCUAACGUUGUCUAGUGUCACCAGUUGGUGGAUCAUCAAUUAAAUGAUCAUCUUUUUCAACACUCCGCAGAUAAAUUCUAAUUGUUUUAAUCCAAUCUAAAUAAUUAGUUCCUUUCAAUUUUUGUUCUGUGAUUUUAUUCAUUGCUAGGAUCAAUUCAGUAAUAGUAGUUUUAGAAUCUGUAGGUGCAGGAUCCAUUAUUAAUAAAAACUAAACACCCUACCAACAACGCAGAAAGAGAUA